rnacentral:rRNA from 1 species
UACAGAGGGGGCAAGCGUUAUUCGGAAUUAUUGGGCGUAAAGGGCGCGUAGGCGGCUUGGCAAGUGGAUGGUGAAAUCCCUCGGCUUAACCGAGGAACUGCCGUCCAAACUGCUUCGCUUGAGACCGGGAGAGGUGAGUGGAAUUCCCAGUGUAGCGGUGAAAUGCGUAGAUAUCAAGAGGAACACCUGAGGUGAAGACGGGUUGCUGGGCUGACACUGACGCUGAGGCGCGAAAGCCAGGGGAGCAAACGGG